UAAUUUUUUUUUUUUUUUUUUUUGGGACUUAAAAACGGUGACCCCGGACAUGCCGAAUUUGCGACAUUCUGGAAAGGACCCCGAAAAUAAUUUUUAACCAUUUUCACAAAAAGUUUUAUUUUUUUUUUUUUUUUUUUUUUUUCGGGACUUAAAAACGGUGACCCGGACAUGCCGAAUUUGCGACAUUCUGGAAAGGACCCCGAAAAUAAUUUUUAACCAUUUUCACAAAAUUUUUUUUUUUUUUUUUUUUUUUUUUUUUCGGGACUUAAAAACGGUGACCCCGGACAUGCCGAAUUUGCGACAUUCUGGAAAGGACCCCGAAAAUAAUUUUUAACCAUUUUCACAAAAAAGUAAUUUUUUUUUUUUUUUUUUUUUUCGGGACUUAAAAACGGUGACCCCGGACAUGCCGAAUUUGCGACAUUCUGGAAAGGACCCGAAAAUAAUUUUUAACCAUUUUCACAAAAAAGUUUUUUUUUUUUUUUUUUCGGGACUUAAAAACGGUGACCCCGGACAUGCCGAAUUUGCGACAUUCUGGAAAGGACCCCGAAAAUAAUUUUUAACCAUUUUCACAAAAAAGUUUUUUUUUUUUUUUUUUUUUUUUUUCGGGACUUAAAAACGGUGACCCCGGACAUGCCGAAUUUGCGACAUUCUGGAAAGGACCCCGAAAAUAAUUUUUAACCAUUUUCACAAAAAAGUGAUUUUUUUUUUUUUUUUUUUUUUUUUCGGGACUUAAAAACGGUGACCCCGGACAUGCCGAAUUUGCGACAUUCUGGAAAGGACCCCGAAAAUAAUUUUUAACCAUUUUCACAAAAAAUUUUUUUUUUUUUUUUUUUUUUUUUCGGGACUUAAAAACGGUGACCCCGGACAUGCCGAAUUUGCGACAUUCUGGAAAGGACCCCGAAAAUAAUUUUUAACCAUUUUCACAAAA